UAAUACCUUCUUAUCCCUGCCCUCUCCCUCUUUUCGCACUUUCGCCCAACUCCCCCGAACUCAGCGCUCUUUCUCGCUCUCUCAUUCGCGCUCUCUGUCUCUGUCUCUCUCGUUCAUUUUCUCCAUAGAAAUCGAACUGAGCUCUCUCUCCGCUGGGUUUCUCUCUCUCAUAUCAGUUAACGGCUUGUGUCUAAUUGAGCAAAUACCUUCAUCAAUUGAACAUCUAGUUGGCCUUGGUGAAUUGCGUAUAAAUUGUUGCAAAAGUCUCUUGGGUCUACCGAGUGUGAUAUGCAAUUUGAAGUCUCUUAAAAUCCUCUGGGGGCUAAGUUGCUCAAAACUUGACAAACUGCCAGGGGACAUGGAGUCUUUAGAGGAACUUUAUUAAGACGGAAGUGCUAUGAGAGAGCUGCCGCUUGUUAUGAAAUAGCUCAAACGUCUAAGCUUUGCUAAAUCAUCAACUUCAAGGGAUGGCAUUGGUAUUGGAAUUGGGUGGGGCCUUGACUGUUUAUUUGAUAGUUUGCAGGAUGUGCUGUAAUUUUAUGUCCUCUAUUUAAACUGCUCUGUCAGAUUUUAUUGUUUUCAGAAUGAAAUGAACCUAGUCACCUAGUGCUAUUCUAUAAACAGAUAACUCCGGAUAAUGUACUGAAAACAGACAAGUAAGCUUCUGUAUGCCAUGAAAAUGCACACUCUAAAUCAACAUGUUUGGUAAC